rnacentral:lncRNA from 1 species
AUCUCCAACAAAAUUCAAAAUUUGAAUAAUGAUAUUAUAGAUCAAUUCGCACCCAACAAAAAAUUGAAAAAAUGCAAUCAUCAACAUCACUAUACAUCAGAAUCACCACAUAACUUAUAUAUGACUAUAUAUAACUACAUGUGAAUAUAUAUGACUAUAUCUAUAUGACAAUAUGUGACUAUAUAUGACUACAUGUGACUAAAUAUAACUACAUGUAUAUGACUACAUGUGACUAUAUAUGACUACAUGUAUAUGACUACAUGUGACUAUAUAUGACUACAUGUAUAUGACUACAUGUGACUAUAUAUGACUACAUGUAUAUGACUACAUGUGACUAUCUAUAAAAGUAUAGUCAUAUAUAGUGUAGUUUGUAUUUAUAGCUUCAAAUCCCACUUUUCAACACGACAGCAACUCCGAUCUAUCGCAAAAGAACUAUUUUGAAUUGACGAACACCAUGUCCUCUCGACAAAAAAAUAGUGCUAGAAGUUGUUUAAACACCGAGACCUGUAACAAAAAAUCAAGUUCAGUUUACAUAUUUACAUUAUAAAUCAACUCAUAGCCAAUAAAAACAAAUCAAAUACACAGUCACAUGCAAAUGUUACUAAAUGUUACUAUAUGUUACUAUAUAUUACUACAUGUAUUUACAUGUGCUGGAUCAUUAAGACGUGGAAUCAACGAAUUCAUACAUCUAUAAUCUAUCUAAAUAAGAUGAUAUAUUGCUCUCAAUCUUGGACUGGUUUCACAAUACUAUCAAAAUCAUAACUAUUAGAGAUAGUUCAUACAUCUAUCAGGCCUUUUAUACAUGAAUUCAAUGGUGACAAAUACUAGCACAAAAACAUUGAGUGGAUAUCAUCGGUUGGGGAAAAUUCACACAAACUACAUCAUAUCAUUAACCAUUAACCAUUAACCAUUAACCAGAGUAAUUAAAUUAUGUCAAAUCUAUGUAAAUUGUUAAUCAUAAGUAAAUGAUUUAGUAACUAAAUUACUUAAUUAUGUAAUUGAAUGGGUCACCCGGAUUUCACCUACUAAGCCUCUCGAAGUAUCUAGGACCAGGUUCGAAUCCUUCCACAUGGCACACAAGGUUCCAGUUGGGACACUCCUUACGUCCC